GACGAACGCUGGCGGCGUGCUUAACACAUGCAAGUGGAGCGACGAACCGGGGCUUGCCCCGGGGCAGAGCCGCGAACGGGUGAGUAACACGUGGGUAACCUACCCCGAUGACCGGGACAACCCGAGGAAACUCGAGCUAAUACCGGAUGUGCUCCUUGACCUUGAGGUCAAGGCGUAAAGAUAGCUUCGGCCUUCGCAUCGGGACGGGCCCGCGGCCCAUUAGCUUGUUGGUGAGGUAACGGCUCACCAAGGCGACGAUGGGUAGCUGGUCUGAGAGGACGAUCAGCCACACUGGGACUGAGACACGGCCCAGACUCCUACGGGAGGCAGCAGUGGGGAAUCUUGCGCAAUGGGCGAAAGCCUGACGCAGCGACGCCGCGUGAGGGAAGAAGGCCUUCGGGUUGUAAACCUCUUUCAGGAGGGACGAAGCCACUCGGGUUAAUAGCCCAGAGGGUGACGGUACCUCCAGAAGAAGCCCCGGCUAACUACGUGCCAGCCGCCGCUGUAA
rnacentral:rRNA from 1 species